AUGGGCUCUCUGUCGUCUCGCUCCUCUGCGGCAUCUUCUCCUCGGGGUCCUGCUACACCUCCUCCAUACAGCAGACAGAGCUCAGAGGCCAUCUUCAUUAAUAAGAGUCCGAGCAGCACCGGAGGAGUGAUGAACGGCUCACCGCUUUACAGAGCUCAUGCCCGGCUGACAUCACCUGUGCUUCUGUCUCCACCGUCACCCAAGACUCAAGCCGAGACUGAGCCCUUCAACCAACUCAACGACAAAACCAGCAUCACAUCUGACACUGAGUCAUUCACCAAACUCACCGACGAAACCAGCAUCAUGUUUGAGAUCGAGUCUUUCAACAAACACAACACUGAAUCCAGCAUCACUCCUGAGUCUGAGCCCGAACCCUUCACCAAACUCAGAGAAGAAACUAGAGUUAUCCAUGAGCACGAGCCCUUCACCAAACUCACAGAAGAAACUAGAGUUAUACAAGAGCCCGAGCCCUUCACCAAACUCACAGAAGAAACUAGAGUUAUGCAUGAGUCCGAGCCCUUCACCAAACUCAGAGAAGAAACUAGGGUUAUACAAGAGCCCGAGCCCUUCACCAAACUCACUGAAGAAACCAGGGUUAUACGUGACCCCAAGGCCUUCACCAAACUCAACAUUGAAAGCAGCGAUACCAAACACAAGGCUGAAAGCGUCCGUGAGCUAAGCACUGACCUCAGCAGAUCACAGACCAGCACACAGGAGUCUUCAGAAGCGGUGACAAAGGACCUGCGUCCGCGACUGUGUCACAUGACCUUAAGCGAGCAGGGCUAUGGUUUUAACCUGCACUGUAAGAAGUCACGCGCGGGUCAGUUCAUCCGCUCGGUGGACCCUGACUCUCCAGCGGAGCAUGCAGGCCUGAGGCCCCGGGACCGGCUCAUCGAGGUGAGAUUAUCUCCAUCAGCCCAGAUUAGCAGAUUACACUCCACUUCUGAGAGCGAGUGAUUACGCAAUUCAACAGAGACGUUUGUUUGCUGUCAAGUCGUCCUCUUUGUGAAGGGAGGAUCCUGUUUUAGAGCAGCCAGUUUGUUUGCUUUCCUUUAAGUGUGUGUGUGUGUGUGUGUGUGUGUGUGCGUGGUGUGUGUGCGUGAGAGACCCAUCAAAUCCGUCUUAAUAGGCUUAAUUUGCAUCCGUUUUCUGUAAUUGUCACAGACAGAUCAGUAAUUAUGACUGACGAGCAGUGUGUAAUCCAGUUUGUCUCUAAAUCAAUAUAAUUAGCAAAUAGGAUUAAUUGUCAUUUGUUUUUUUGGACACCUGUAACAAUAGUUUUUUUUAAAUAAUACUGGUGCUGAAUAAGUACUUUUAAAAUAAUACUGGUGCCAAAUCCAUGCCUUUUAAAUAAUGUUCAUUCCAAAUCUGCUAAAUCAAUAGUUUUAAAAUGAUACUGGUCCCAAAUUAAUACUUUUAAAAUGAUACUGGUGCUAAAUCAAUACUUUUAAAAUGAUACUGGUGCUAAAUCAAUACUUUUAAAAUGAUACUGGUGCCAAAUCGAUAAUUUUAAAUUGAUACUGGUACCAAAUCAAUACUUUUAAAACUAUAAAAAAAACUAUUUUUGAUGGCAAAUUGAUACUUUAAAAAAGAUACUGGUACAAAAUUUGCCAAAUCUAUGCUUUUAAAAUGAUACUGGUGCCCAAACGAUACUUUCAAAAUGAUGCUGGUGGUAAAUUGAUACAUUAAAACAAUACUGGUGCCAAAUUGAUACUUUUAAAAUGAUACUGGUGCCAAAAUCGACACUUUUAAAAUGAUACUGGUACCAAAUCUGUCAAAUCGAUACUUUUAAAAUGACACUGGUGCCAAAUCUAUACUUUUAAACAAUACUGGUGCCAAAUUGAUACUUUAAAACAAUACUGGUGCCAAAUUGAUACUUUCAAAAUGAUACUAGUGCCAAAUCUGCCAAAUCGAUACUUUUAAAUUGAUACUGGUACAAAAUUGAUACUUAAAAAAAAAUACUAGUGCCAAAUCGAUAUUUUUAAAAUCAUACUGGUGCCAAAUCAAUGCUUUUAAAAUCAUACUAGUGCCAAAUCAAUGCUUUUAAAAUCAUACUGGUGCCAAAUCAAUGCUUUUAAAAUCCUACUAGUGCCAAAUCAAUGCUUUUAAAAUCAUACUAGUGCCAAAUCAAUGCUUUUAAAAUCAUACUGGUGCCAAAUCAAUGCUUUUAAAAUCAUACUAGUGCCAAAUCAAUGCUUUUAAAAUCAUACUAGUGCCAAAUCAAUGCUUUUAAAAUCAUACUGGUGCCAAAUCAAUGCUUUUAAAAUCAUACUAGUGCCAAAUCAAUGCUUUUAAAAUCAUACUGGUGCCAAAUCAAUGCUUUUAAAAUCAUACUAGUGCCAAAUCAAUGCUUUUAAAAUCAUACUAGUGCCAAAGCGAUACUUUUAAAUGAUACUGGUGUUAAAUCAAUACUUUUAAAACUAUACUGAUGCCAAAUCAAUACUUUACUAUACAAUAUAACUAUGCUAGUGCCAAGUUAGUACUUUUAAAACUACACUGGUGCCAAAUCAAUACUUUUAAACUAUUCUGGUGCCAAAUCAAUACUUUUAAAACCAUACUAGUACCAAAUCGAUACUUUUAAAUGAUAUUGGUGCCAAAUCAAUACUUUUAAAUGAUUCUGGUGCCAAAUCAAGGAAAAUAAAUUGAAUGUCUUUGCUUCCA
ensembl:lincRNA